GCCGAUUUAGCUUAGUGGUAGAGCGUUGCACUUGUAUUGAUCACAUCUGCGAAGAACUUGAUGCAAAGGUCGGUUGUUCAAUCCAGCCAAUCGGCA